rnacentral:tRNA from 1 species
GCCCAUAUCGUGUAAUGGUAUCGCACCGGUCUAGAAAACCGGACCCUCUGGGUAUCCCCGUUCGAUUCGGGGUAUGGGCG